rnacentral:rRNA from 1 species
UACGUAGGGUGCAAGCGUUGUCCGGAAUUAUUGGGCGUAAAGAGCUCGUAGGCGGUUUGUCGCGUCGAAUGUGAAAACCCGGGGGCUCAACCCCCGGGCCUGCAUUCGAUACGGGCAGACUAGAGUUCGGUAGGGGGAGUCUGGAAUUCCUGGUGUAGCGGUGAAAUGCGCAGAUAUCGGGAGGAACACCAGUGGCGAAGGCGGCGAUCUGGGAAGAUACUGACGCUGAGGUGCGAAAGCGUGGGGAGCAAACAGG